CUUUUUAAACUGCGAUGGCAUUUACUUGAAUUAUAACUGGACGAAAUCAAAAUUGGAAAACGGUUUGGCACUUGCAAAAAAUCACAGCAGAGAUAUUCAUGAUAUUUAUGUAGGACUUGAUAUUUGGGGAAGAUGUUGUCCUGGUGGUGGUGGAUUUAAUUCAACAUAUGCUUUACAAAAAAUACGACACGAAGGAAUUUUCUGUUGCGCUUUUUGGUCCAGGUUGGACUCACGAAUUUUUCGGAUCUAAGACAUUUCAAGAAAUAGAAGAUCUAUUUUGGGCACAGUUGUUUCCUUAUUUAUAGCAAACGAAAGUCAACACGAACCAAUACUAGUUCUUGGCAAUAAUACCGACUUAAAAUCCAUCGUUCCUUACAAAUCAAGGGAGUUGGUUGCCAACUGGAAAAGAUGAAAGCAGAUAUAUAUGUGUCUGGUUAACAUUAUGAUUAGCUGCCUGUAAGGAAUCUUCAUUUGGACUAGACCAACCACAGUAGCCAUACGGACGACGAUGCGCUAGCCACUAGCACUGCAAUCGACAAGCAAUACACCAUACCCAAAACAACAGCACAAGAAAUUAGAAAUAUAAUCGAAAAAACAAAAAACAACAAAGCACCAGGAAUCAAUCUAAUCAAUGACAAAAUAUUGAAAAACCUCCCUCCAAAAGCGAUACGACUAAUCACUAUAAUAUUCAAUGCAAUACCAAGAAUACAAUAUUAUCCUACAUUAUGGAAACAGGCACAAAUCAUAAUGUUACCCAAACCAGGCAAAGACCCACAUGAAGCAACAUCCUACGGACCAAUAUCACU